AGCGAACGCUGGCGGCAGGCCUAACACAUGCAAGUCGAACGGAUCCUUCGGGAUUAGUGGCGGACGGGUGAGUAACACGUGGGAACGUGCCCUUUGGUUCGGAACAACUCAGGGAAACUUGAGCUAAUACCGGAGGUGCCCUUCGGGGGAACGAUUUAUCGCCAUUGGAGCAGCCCGCGUCUGGUUAGCUAGUUGGUGAGGUAAAGGCUCACCAAGGCGAGGUUCAGUAGCUGGUCUGAGAGGAUGAUCAGCCACAUUGGGACUGAGACACGGAUCAAAGUCCUACGGGAGGCAGCAGUGGGGAAUCUUGCGGAAUGGGCGAAAGGCUGACGCAGCCAUGCCGCGUGAAUGAUGAAGGUCUUAGGAUUGUAAACUUCUUUCACCGGGGACGAUAAUGACGGUACCCGGAGAAGAAGCCCCGGCUAACUACGUGCCAGCAGCCGCGGUAA
rnacentral:rRNA from 1 species